rnacentral:lncRNA from 1 species
CAGAGGCUUGAAUUCUGAGGACCCGUGUCAAGAAGGCUGAGCCCCAGUCAUACUCGGUCCACCAAGCAGGCACCCACACCAGCUUGAAUUUUGCUGCUCCACGGAAUUAUUUUGAGGAAGGAGAAAGACAACGUCUGGGACAUCUAGACAUCUCGACCAGCAUCUGGGUGAGUCCCCCGACAUGUAUCCGAGGCUCCUUCAACAUGUCCAUCUGAGGAACAUUUGUUUCCAUCUGGGAAACAUUGAGUGCCUGUCUGAUUAGUUUUCAUGUUGGAAAUCCCACCUGUGAGGUCUAAGGACUCAGGUCAUGGGCUUGGCAGGAACUGGAAACACCCACUCUGAGUUUUAUGCUUUCUAGUGUCCUUCCCCUCAUUAAGGUUUCCAUCAGCUAAUGAGGUCUGGUUUGUAUUUGGC